GGAGGGAUCAUUACCGAGUUUUCAACUCCCAAACCCCUGUGAACAUACCAUUUUGCUGCCUCGGCGGUGCCUGUUCCGACAGCCCGCCAGAGGACCCCAAACCCAAACUUCCUUGAGUGAGUCUUCUGAGUAACCGAUUAAAUCAAUCAAAACUUUCAACAACGGAUCUCUUGGUUCUGGCAUCGAUGAAGAACGCAGCGAAAUGCGAUAAGUAAUGUGAAUUGCAGAAUUCAGUGAAUCAUCGAAUCUUUGAACGCACAUUGCGCCCGCCAGUAUUCUGGCGGGCAUGCCUGUUCGAGCGUCAUUACAUCCCUCAAGCCCCCGGGCUUGGUGUUGGGGAUCGGCGAGCCUCAGCGCCCGCCGUCCCCUAAAUUUAGUGGCGGUCACGCUGUAACUUCCUCUGCGUAGUAGCACACUUAGCACUGGGAAACAGCGCGGCCACGCCGUAAAACCCCCCAACUUUUGAACGUUUGACCUCGAAUCAGGUAGGACUACCCGCUGAACUUAAGCAUAUCAAUAAGCGGAGGAA
rnacentral:rRNA from 1 species